rnacentral:misc_RNA from 2 species
AACGCACAUUGCGCUCCUCGGUAUUCCGGGGAGCAUGCCUGUUCGAGCGUCAUUGCAUCUCUCAAGCGUAGCUUGGUAUUGGAUAUUCGUCUGAAAACGACGUAUCCGAAAAAGAGUGGCGGACAAGUACGACUUCAAGCGUAGUAAAAUUUAUCCCGCUUUGGAAGCUCAUAUUCGACUUGCCAAAAUACCCAAUAUUUUUUCAAUGAUUGACCUCGGAUCAGGUAGGGAUACCCGCUGAACUUAA